UACGUAGGGGGCGAGCGUUGUCCGGAAUCAUUGGGCGUAAAGAGCGUGUAGGCGGCUUGGCAAGUCUGACGUGAAAGCCCGCGGCUCAACCGCGGAUUGUCGUUGGAAACUGCCUCGCUAGAGUCCGGAAGAGGAGAGCGGAAUUCCUGGUGUAGCGGUGGAAUGCGCAGAUAUCAGGAAGAACACCCGUGGCGAAGGCGGCUCUCUGGGACGGUACUGACGCUGAGACGCGAAAGCGUGGGGAGCGAA
rnacentral:rRNA from 1 species